rnacentral:lncRNA from 1 species
AAUCCAUGACCAAUACUAUGGAAUUAUGCUCAUGUUGUAGUUUUAUUUUGUAAUUUUAAGUUGAAUGUAAUAUGUGUUUGGAUAAAUUAGAAAUGAUUUAUGAUGGUUGGAAAUUGAAUUUGGUUUAGGUUUGUAAUGGAUGAGUUAAUUUGAAUGAUGUAAUGUAUUGAAAAUGUUGGAAAGUAUUGUAAUGUGAAGUAGUUGUUAAACGUUUUUGCUUAUGAAGUUAGAAAUGAAU